rnacentral:rRNA from 1 species
AUACGUAGGGUGCAAGCGUUAAUCGGAAUUACUGGGCGUAAAGCGUGCGCAGGCGGUUUUGUAAGACAGAGGUGAAAUCCCCGGGCUCAACCUGGGAACUGCCUUUGUGACUGCAAGGCUAGAGUACGGCAGAGGGGGAUGGAAUUCCGCGUGUAGCAGUGAAAUGCGUAGAUAUGCGGAGGAACACCGAUGGCGAAGGCAAGUCCCUGGGCCUUUAAUGACGCGCGUGCACGAAAGCGUGGGGAGAAAACAGGAGUAGAUACCCUGGUAGUCGACGCCCUAAAGGAUGUCAACUUGUUGUUUGGUCUUCAUCGACUCAGUAACUAAGGUAACGCGUGAAGGUGUCCGCCUGGGGAGUACGGCCUCAAGGUUGAAACUUAAAGGAAUUGACGGGG